CGCCACUCCUCAUCCAUAUGCGUGCCUUAUCCACACCGUCACUUCCCCUUCUCACUCAUCGCUGCUCCUCCUCUUCUCCAGCCACUAUCACCCAGUGAUGCUCUUCCUCUUCUACACGCAUUGCACGGACGAUGCACUCCACUCUCCUGGAGUGCACGCCGCCAUGGUGGCUGGCCAGAGCCAAGGCAGCACCCCUUACCAGCGCGAGGAACCCAGAGACGCCAUGGAUGGCGCCAUGGAUGCUCCUCUGCCGUUGGUCUGAUCUGGCCGUCCCGUCCCAGUCGUCGGCCCGCUCCGGAUCCGGCCAGCAGCCUUGCCUCCGAUCCGAUUCGGAUGGCCCUGCCUACAGCCUCCGCCACCUGCGGCAUGCCCCCCAGAGGUCCGGCUGAUCCAGCCUGUCCACGAAGUCCAGCCGGCCCUCCUCCCGGGCGCGUUCCUCGGUCGUUGCCACGUGCUCGGCCAACAACUUCGUUGAACUGGUGGUACACCCGGUGCAGCUUGCCCUGCACUCCCUGGACACAUUGCUUCUUCUACAUCUACCUGAUGCUGUCCCUUCUCUUCUUCUCUAUCAGGGCAGCAUCAACCCCCUUUUCCCUGUCGGUGAGGAACUCCAGCAGAGGAUGGACUGUGUUUUGGAGCUCCUCGAUCUGGCCUCCCCUGCUCAGUUGCCGCUCCAUGCUCCGGAUCUGGCCACAGUAGGCCUCGCCCCCGACGACCAACAGGCUCAGAUCCAUCCCUUCCCUCCUCCUGUCCUCCACAUGCGUAGGGGCUGUGGCGCCAGAUCAAGGGAGCCUGCCAAUGGAGGUCACCGCCUCUCCGUCUCGUUCCGUCCGCCGCCGGAUCCACCACGUUGUGCCAUGGAUGGGCGCCUUGCAGCUCCUCCUCCCGUCACCUAAUCUGCCUGCCCGCCCGUGCUCCAGAUCCGGCUAACAGCCUCGCCUCCGACCCGAUUCAGACAGGCGCCCACACAAUCUCACUCCGCCACCUGCGCCUCAGGUCUGACCGAUCCUGCGUCGCUCAUCCUCGCUGCUUUUCUUGUUUAAGUUAGCCCCGCUGUUUCUUUUGCUCGCAGCUUGCGAGGAGGCCAGGGCGCGCCUUGUCCAGCCGCGGGCUACCUGGUGUGUCAGUCAGCCCAGCCGCCUCGACCCAGCCUUCUCCUUCUCCGCCCCCAGCUCUAGGCCUCAAACAACUCCCACUUUUUGGAAAUCCUCCGUAGAGCGAGGGGCACCGGUGGUGGUGGUGUUCGCUCGGUGGACUCUGUUCCAUUUUCUUUGCUCCUUCACGCUUUGGCAAUUCCUUCUGUUCCCUUUCUCUGCUUGUUUUGAUUUCUAAUGUGGCUUGUUGAUUCUCAUGGCAACUCCGAGGGACUGUUAUGCAAAAUCGCGCACGACGACAUAUCGACGAAGGCGAUCUUAUGGAUGAAGAGUACGAUAGCGAGUCUGACGCCUAGAGGAGUCCCAGU